UGGUGAAAGCCCUGAUCUGCAGCAUGAGUUGGGACUUUAAAAACAUUAAAAAAAAAAAAAAAAAAAAAGGAGAUCGAACACCUAGCACAAAGCUGGGUGGAAAAGGGGGAUUUUGCUUAUUUUGGUUCUUUAGCUAUUUCAAAGUUUCAAAAGGAGAACCAAAGCCUAUUUUGAGUAUUUUAACUUCAGUUGCUUGAAAAGGUGAAGGAAAAGUUUUGGAAGAAUCAGUGAUGUUUCGAUACUGAGCUUUUACUAAACCCUUGCUUUAAAAAAAUGAACCAGUGGGAAUAUUGAAAUGAGAAAGUCGUUUCAAACCAAAGAGUCAGAAUUCGCUGCCGCUGACCAUUCUGAAAUGUCUGGGGUUCUGUCCUUAAUUCCCUCAAAUUCUUACAUGAUAGUGAGGAGAAACAGUUACAAAACACUCGUGUGUCCCCAAAUCUGCAGUGUUGGUGGGAAAAAAUUGGGUGUGAAAAUAUCCCCGCUGCUUGUCUCAAGGGAUCUUUGUCGAAAAGAAGUUCAAUACCGGUGUGUUGAUGGCGGUAUAGUCUACUUGCCAACAAGUAGAAAUUCUGUUUUUCACUGUAGCUGGUUCAAAAGAGAAGGUGGUGACAUUUGACAGGGUACUCCCAGCUGUAGGUCACCCAUGGUGGCCAGCAGGUUUGGGGUGACUCCCCAGCAUCCCGUCUUGGCCACCCCAUCUGGUAAUUCUUUUGGGGCACAAGAAGUGGCCAGUUGGCUGGAAUCACCCUGUCCACCUCCUUCAGCCCCAAAUCCAUGAGCUGCUCUGAAGGACAAAGGCUUUUGGUGGCCCUCUGCCUCUGAUGGCUCCUCCUGGAUGAGCCGUGGGAGGCAGACUGGUGGGAUCCCAGUUCCACCACUGGCUGAGGUGGGUUGCAGUGGUGGUUUUACAUUAAACCAACACUUGGAAAUGUAAAUGUUACAAAUUGGGGCUUCUUAUUUCUCUUUUUACUAUGACCUUUCAACGUCAGCGGAAUCGGAGGGAAUGCGAGGAUCGCGGGUUCGUGAGGUUUUUGGUUUUUCCAUCAGUGACGCGGUGGCUGGAUGAGAAUCUGCCCACCAGAGGCAAGGAAGGGGACACAGGGAGGUCAAGGGUUCCACAGCCCUCAGGAGGGUUGAGGGGCUUCUGCUCUGAGACCACCCAUAGCAGAAUGCUCCCAAGGAACUGCCCAAACUUGGCUUCCUCCUCCCAAAAUAAAUCCAUAAAGACUCCACGUGCAACGAAAGUCAAUGGAGAGAAAAAAAGAAAGUUAGAAGAAAAAGAAAUCUUCUUAAAACUGCAUCAAACUUUUUCUUUUUAAUCCUCAUCAACUUCUUAAACAAGCGACGUUUUGCAGAUGAUUGGUUCCUUCAGGUGUUUUUUUGUCUACGAUUUGGAGUCGUUGUAAAAUAUCCAAAGAUGCUGAGUACUGUAUGAUCUGCAAGGACUUGAAGCAAGGUGUUAUUUCUGUCUCAGUUUGUUUGUUAGGUUGGUUGGGUUCUAUUUUUUUUUUUUCCUAUAUGUCUAAGUGGGGAUAAACCUUUGCAAUUUUUCUAUUUAUAACUAUUUUUAUGUGAUUGCUUUAUGUACAAAACAAUGGAAAAAAAAUCAAAACAAAAAAGUAGAGAGGAACACACAUGUACACAAACAAAUUUGCCUUAGUUACUCACGGGACAAUCACCCUUAACUUUGAUUGAUGCUAAAAAGCAGAUGGAAAAAAAGAGACUAGAUCAUUUUAUGUAUUUAUUAAACUGUAUUAAUUGAUGCUUUUAAAUUAUUAGCAGGACUUGAUUCUCUUGCCUGUGGCCAUGGUGAGAAGGCAAAGCUGCCGCAGUUGUUGAGCUGCCAGCACAGCCAUCAGUGUGGCCUCAGCUCUGUGGAUGUUUGCCUGACACCUUUUGGAAAGCCAGAAUAAUCACUUAUUAAUUAAAGAUUGAGCUGGCAUGGGCUCCAGCCCGAGGGGCUGUUGGUGUUGCGAUGCUGAUGACGAUUAUGGAGUUAAGGUUGAUUUUCCCGCGUUGGCGCUGGGUUGGGCAGGGCUGGAGGGAGCUGAGUGCUGGCAGUGGUCGUUUGCUGGGGUGCAGAGGGAUGAUUAGAGAAAACCCUGCUUCUUCCCUUUUUGGUGUUGUGUGGUGAGUCCAGGCCACAGGUAUCCACGUGGGAGCCCAGCUGAGUGUGAAGGUGCCUUCCUGGGGAUCUGCUCCCGUUUCCCAACCAGGACGGGUGCAAUGACACCAAACCUCAGCCUGGAAGGACACAGCUUCUGUCCCAGCUCAUGGUGUGGUGGCUUCUGCUUCAUCUCAGCCUGGCUCCUAUGGCCUGGUUGCAGCAGGGCAGGGGGGUUCUGCCCCUCUGCCCCUGUGCUCUGCUCAGAGCCCACUGCAGAGCUGCCCCAGCCCUGGCUCCAGCAGCACAAGGACGUGGAGCUGCUGGAGCCAGCCCAGAGGAGGCCACGGAGCUGCUGCCAGGGCUGGAGCCCCUCUGCUCUGGAGCCAGCCUGGCAGAGCUGGGGCUGUUCCCCUGCACAAGAGAAGCUCCAGGGAGAGCUCAGAGCCCCUGCCAGGGCCUCAAGUCAUUUUAGGAAAAAGAUCAGGCAAACAUAUUAGCAGGGCCUAUUGUGCUAGAACAAGAAGAGAUAUUUUAAACUGAGAGAGAGGGGAGAUUUAGUCUAGAUAGAAGGAAGAAAUUUUUUACAAUGAGGGUGGCAAAACACUGAAAGAUGCCCGAAGAGAUGGUGACUACCCCUGAAUCCCUGGAAGUGUCCAAGGCCAGGCUGGACAGGGCUUGGAGCAACCUGGGAUAGUGGAAGUUGUCCCUGCCCAUAGCAGGGGAUGGAUCUGGUCGACCCCAAAGGAGCCUUUCAAUUCAAAUCUUCAGAUGAUUCUAUGAUUAAUGAACACAGAUGACACAAACAUGAGCCCUGUAAUUCAUGUGGCCGCUCAGGAACUGCAGAAUUCCUUUGUUGUUUUUGAAUGAGGCGCAAAAGCCUGGAAGAUAAGCUCCAGCUAGGAAGUGUGGGACUCACUCCACGUUGUUCAGCCAUGUGGAGGUGGAGUAAACAGGGACCCUGUGCUUAUUGAGAUACCUCCAUGUCAUCCUGAAACCUGCAGCGUGAUUCCAGCCUGCCUCUGGAGCCAUCCUGGCUCUGGUGGGAGGCCGGUUCCGAUGAGGGUGAUUCACCCCACCCACGCUGGAUCUCCCAGGGGUGGGAUGAAUCACCUCUGGGCACCUCUCUGCUACCUACAGUGUGCUGUGCUUUCCCAUAGCUCACCCAGAUAAGUGUAACCACAGGGAGGGAUGUUCCCACCAGCACUGCUCCCUCCUCGCUGCUCAGCUCAUGGGACAUUCCCCGGAAAAAUCUUUCCCAAGAGGAUGAGAUGCUGGUACAGCCCAAGGACUCAGGUCAGGCAGCUUGAUCACUUCCCAGUCUGUUUUAACUAGCAACACUAUGGGAGAUAAAGGUCCUUGUCAAAUCUCCCAAGCCUGGGGAACAGGGAUUCAGGCUCAUGGGUCGUACACCCUGCUGCAAUCCCAGUAAAACUUCCCAAGUUCUUACAGCCACAGGUCAUUUUGCUUCCUUUACACUUCAGAGAAGGGCUCCACAGCAUCAGGUGCUUGGGCAGGGGUCCAGAUCUGCAGGCAGAGUCCAGAAAUGUGACUUGGGAACAAAGGAAUACCAGUCCUCUCCCAGGCAGAUUGUUGAGCAGCUCCUCUGUGCUUGGAGGCUGCAGGACUGUGGCAGGGUCAGCCCAUACACUGUGUGUUUCUGAGCACAAAAACCCACAAAAUUAAAACUGUGUGAAUUACUUUUUAGAUAUUUAAAUACACCUAUAACUUCUUUUUUUUUUUUUUUUUUUCAGCUCCUGUGACUUUUAACCCCGUUUUAUACUCACAUUCUCGUUUGCUUAUAAUGCCACAACAUCAAAAAGGAGAUUUAUAAGGGGAGGGUGAAAAAAGAAAUCUAAAAAUCGCUCGGAGGAGCUGUGCAUUAAUCAGACACAUGGGAAUCACGGGAAGAAACCAGCUUCAGUAAAUGCUUGUUAGCAACAACAUAUGGCUGCAUGCUUGCUCCUGAGCAGCUGCUGUUCUCUGCUGGAGCAUCCAGGCUGCAGAGGGGGAACAGCACCAGGGGAUGCCUGGACCAGGUGUUCCUGCCAAAGGAGCAUCUCCUGGCAUGAGUGGUGGGGAGCUGGAUGGGCAAUCCCUUCCCCUGGGCUCCAAACCCUUUUGCUGAGCAGUGCAGAAGGAAAUUACAUCCAGAAAAAAAAAAAUGUUUGUGUUUUAAGAGGGGAAGAAGGAGCCUGCAGUUUGGGAAGUGAGAGGCUUUUCCAUUUGGCAGUCACCUGCAGGAAAAAAAUAAAGGGAGUAAUUUCCCAAAGUACAGCCUGAAAUGUUUUAGACUUGAAUGUGUCAGCAGGACUCCUGGCAGCACCUGUGAGGCUGCAAAUGCUGCCCAGUCUCUGCUCCACUCGUGCCCUGCCUGCAGCCCCCUGGGACCUGCUAUGCCCCCCAUCCUUUUUGGGGGGGAAUAAUGCUUUAUUUACAGUCUCAGUGCCCUGAAGCUGGAAUAUUCUGUGGUUGCAGAGGAACUUUUAAGGUAAGAGAGUACAUGAAGCAAGACCCCAAACAUCUCAUUUUACAAAAAUGCUCCAUUUGGCAGCAGGUCACCCGUGGCUGAGUUUUUAAGUUCUGCCAUUGCCUUUUGGUACCUCUGACUGUGUGCACCUGUGUUCCAUUCCAAGGCAAAAACAAAAAGGGAAGAACUGAGAAAGAUCCCUUCUUGUAGAAGAUACACCUAUAUGGUCUGAGCCCGAGUGAGCUCAUCCC
ensembl:lncRNA